UACGGAGGGGGCUAGCGUUGUUCGGAAUUACUGGGCGUAAAGCGCACGUAGGCGGACUGUUAAGUCGGGGGUGAAAACUUGGGGCUUAACCCUGAGCUUGCGGUCGAUACGGGCAUGACUGGAGUUCGGCAGGGGAGACUGGAAUUCCUGGUGUAGCGGUGAAAUGCGCAGAUAUCAGGAGGAACACCGGUGGCGAAGGCGGGUCUCUGGGCCGAUACUGACGCUGAGGAGCGAAAGCGUGGGGAGCGAACAGG
rnacentral:rRNA from 1 species